GUUCAGCAUGGCCUAGUGGUUAAGGCAACUGAGUAGCACCUUUGAGGUCCUGGGUUCGACUCCUGGUGGGAGCG